rnacentral:rRNA from 1 species
CGCGUAGGUGGUUUGUUAAGUUGGAUGUGAAAGCCCCGGGCUCAACCUGGGAACUGCAUCCAAAACUGGCAAGCUAGAGUACGGUAGAGGGUGGUGGAAUUUCCUGUGUAGCGGUGAAAUGCGUAGAUAUAGGAAGGAACACCAGUGGCGAAGGCGGCUCUCUGGACUGUAACUGACACUGAGGCACGAAAGCGUGGGGAGCGAACA